rnacentral:rRNA from 1 species
UGGGGAAUCUUGGACAAUGGGCGCAAGCCUGAUCCAGCCAUGCCGCGUGAGUGAAGAAGGCCUUCGGGUUGUAAAGCUCUUUUACCAGGGACGAUAAUGACGGUACCUGGAGAAUAAGCCCCGGCAAACUUCGUGCCAGCAGCCGCGGUAAUACGAAGGGGGCUAGCGUUGUUCGGAAUUACUGGGCGUAAAGCGCACGUAGGCGGAUUGUUAAGUCAGAGGUGAAAUCCCGGAGCUCAACUUCGGAACUGCCUUUGAUACUGGCAAUCUCGAGUCCGGAAGAGGUUAGUGGAAUUCCCAGUGUAGAGGUGAAAUUCGUAGAUAUUGGGAAGAACACCAGUGGCGAAGGCGGCUAACUGGUCCGGUACUGACGCUGAGGUGCGAAAGCGUGGGAGCAAACAGGAUUAGAUACCCUUGUAGUCCCUGAGCGGGCUGGCAAGGCGCAU